UAAGGAAUAUUGCGCAAUGGGGGAAACCCUGACGCAGCAACGCCGCGUGGAGGAUGACACUUUUCGGAGCGUAAACUCCUUUUAUCAGGAAAGACUAAUGACGGUACCUGAUGAAUAAGCACCGGCUAACUCCGUGCCAGCAGCCGCGGUAAUACGGGGGGUGCAAGCGUUACUCGGAAUCACUGGGCGUAAAGGACGCGUAGGCGGAUUAUCAAGUCUUUUGUGAAAUCUAGUGGCUUAACCACUAAACUGCUUAGGAAACUGAUAGUCUAGAGUAGGGGAGAGGUAGAUGGAAUUCUUGGUGUAGGGGUAAAAUCCGUAGAGAUCAAGAAGAAUACCCAUUGCGAAAGCGAUCUGCUGGAACCUAACUGACGCUGAGGCGUGAAAGCGUGGGUAGCAAACAGG
rnacentral:rRNA from 1 species